AUGGGGAGGGCGCCUUGCUGCGAGAAGGUGGGGCUGAAGCGAGGAAGGUGGACGGCAAAGGAGGACGACACUCUCGCAAAAUACAUUGCUCGGCACGGCGAGGGCUCAUGGAGGUCUCUGCCCCAGAAUGCGGGGCUACUGAGGUGUGGCAAGAGCUGCAGGCUGCGGUGGGUCAACUACCUGAGGGACGGGGUGAGGAGGGGCAACUUCUCAAACGAGGAAGACGAUCUCAUCGUCAAGCUCCAUGCCACCCUUGGCAACAGAUGGUCGCUGAUCGCCAGUCACCUACCAGGCCGGACUGACAACGAGAUCAAGAAUUACUGGAACGCGCAUCUCAGCCGGCGGAGCCACAGCUUCCGGCACACGCACACCGCCGGCAAGGAAACCACCAUAACCAUCGACAUCAACAAGAUUUCCGCCACUUCGAAGCGGCGAGGCGGUCGGGCACCCAGGAGCAGCAUGAAGAAGCAGCCGGUGCCUGAACCCACCAAGUCAACGGAAAGCUCUAGCCCGGUCCCUGCCAUAUCAUCAUCAACAUCAAGCCUACCUCAGGGCUACUCGGACAAGAACCAGCCCAUCAACAGCAUCCCUAACGAUAUGCCCUGCAGCGACCAUGUAGAUCUGAAUGGUGGUGUCCUGAAGCCCAACUAUGCGAAGGACUCAAUGAAUCAGAUUGGGAUUUUGGAGGAGGAAAGUGAGAUUGAGGGCCUGCUAUCAAGCAUGGACGACAUGCCGGCUAGUGGGCUUAAUGGCCUUCAACAUGGAGGCCACCUUCCUCUGGUGGAGGAUCUCCUGGACAUGGACUGGGAGGGUUUUGCGACCCACCUAUGGGACCAGCCAGCCCAGAGUGAUCAGCUCCAGCCUGCUGAGCCGCAGGCAACAAUGGGCUCCGUGUCGGACGAGCUCGAGUCAUUUGUCCAUUGGCUCCUCUCCGACACGUGCUAA
rnacentral:rRNA from 1 species